rnacentral:rRNA from 1 species
UAGGGAAUCUUCCACAAUGGACGCAAGUCUGAUGGAGCAACGCCGCGUGAGUGAAGAAGGUUUUCGGAUCGUAAAGCUCUGUUGUUGGUGAAGAAGGAUAGAGGCAGUAACUGGUCUUUAUUUGACGGUAAUCAACCAGAAAGUCACGGCUAACUACGUGCCAGCAGCCGCGGUAAUACGUAGGUGGCAAGCGUUGUCCGGAUUUAUUGGGCGUAAAGCGAGCGCAGGCGGAAUGAUAAGUCUGAUGUGAAAGCCCACGGCUCAACCGUGGAACUGCAUCGGAAACUGUCAUUCUUGAGUGCAGGAGAGGAGAGUGGAAUUCCAUGUGUAGCGGUGGAAUGCGUAGAUAUAUGGAAGAACACCAGUGGCGAAGGCGGCUCUCUGGUCUGCAACUGACGCUGAGGCUCGAAAGCAUGGGUAGCGAACAGG